rnacentral:rRNA from 1 species
GGUCAGAUUGAACGCUGGCGGCAUGCCUUACACAUGCAAGUCGAACGGCAGCACGGGGGCAACCCUGGUGGCGAGUGGCGAACGGGUGAGUAAUACAUCGGAACGUGUCCUGUAGUGGGGGAUAGCCCGGCGAAAGCCGGAUUAAUACCGCAUACGCUCUACGGAGGAAAGGGGGGGAUCUUAGGACCUCCCGCUACAGGGGCGGCCGAUGGCAGAUUAGCUAGUUGGUGGGGUAAAGGCCUACCAAGGCGACGAUCUGUAGCUGGUCUGAGAGGACGACCAGCCACACUGGGACUGAGACACGGCCCAGACUCCUACGGGAGGCAGCAGUGGGGAAUUUUGGACAAUGGGGGAAACCCUGAUCCAGCAAUGCCGCGUGUGUGAAGAAGGCCUUCGGGUUGUAAAGCACUUUUGUCCGGAAAGAAAACCUCUGGGUUAAUACCCCGGGGGGAUGACGGUACCGGAAGAAUAAGCACCGGCUAACUACGUGCCAGCAGCCGCGGUAAUACGUAGGGUGCAAGCGUUAAUCGGAAUUACUGGGCGUAAAGCGUGCGCAGGCGGUCCGCUAAGACAGAUGUGAAAUCCCCGGGCUUAACCUGGGAACUGCAUUUGUGACUGGCGGGCUAGAGUAUGGCAGAGGGGGGUAGAAUUCCACGUGUAGCAGUGAAAUGCGUAGAGAUGUGGAGGAAUACCGAUGGCGAAGGCAGCCCCCUGGGCCAAUACUGACGCUCAUGCACGAAAGCGUGGGGAGCAAACAGGAUUAGAUACCCUGGUAGUCCACGCCCUAAACGAUGUCAACUAGUUGUCGGGUCUUCAUUGACUUGGUAACGUAGCUAACGCGUGAAGUGAC